rnacentral:rRNA from 1 species
UCUACGGGAGUCAGCAGUGGGGAAUAUUGGGCAAUGGGCGCAAGCCUGACCCAGCAACGCCGCGUGAAGGAAGAAGGCUUUCGGGUUGUAAACUUCUUUUCUCAGGGACGAAGCAAGUGACGGUACCUGAGGAAUAAGCCACGGCUAACUACGUGCCAGAAGCCGCGGUAAUACGUAGGUGGCAAGCGUUAUCCGGAUGUACUGGGUGUAAAGGGGGUGUAGGCGGGGACGCAAGUCAGAUGUGAAAACCACGGGCUCAACCUGUGGCCUGCAUUUGAAAAUGUGUUUCUUGAGUACUGGAGAGGCAGACGGAAUUCCUAGUGUAGCGGUGAAAUGCGUAGAUAUUAGGAGGAACACCAGUGGCGAAGGCGGUCUGCUGGACAGCAACUGACGCUGAGGCGCGAAAGCGUGGGGAGCAAACAGGAUUAGAUACCCGGGUAGUC